rnacentral:rRNA from 1 species
AUUGAACGCUGGCGGCAGGCCUAACACAUGCAAGUCGAACGGUAACAGGAAGAAGCUUGCUUCUUUGCUGACGAGUGGCGGACGGGUGAGUAAUGUCUGGGAACCUGCCUGAUGGAGGGGGAUAACUACUGGAAACGGUAGCUAAUACCGCAUAACGUCGCAAGACCAAAAAGGGGGACCUUCGGGCCUCUUGCCAUCGGAUGUGCCCAGAUGGGAUUAGCUAGUAGGUGGGGUAACGGCUCACCUAGGCGACGAUCCCUAGCUGGUCUGAGAGGAUGACCAGCCACACUGGAACUGAGACACGGUCCAGACUCCUACGGGAGGCAGCAGGGGGGAAUAUUGCACAAUGGGCGCAAGCCUGAUGCAGCCAUGCCGCGUGUAUGAAGAAGGCCUUCGGGUUGUAAAGUACUUUCAGCGGGGAGGAAGGGAGUAAAGUUAAUACCUUUGCUCAUUGACGUUACCCGCAGAAGAAGCACCGGCUAACUCCGU